rnacentral:rRNA from 1 species
AACGAACGCGGGCGGCGUGGAUAAGACAUGCAAGUCGAACGAUUACUGUUGGGUAGCAAUAUUCGGCAGUGAGAGUGGCGCAAGGGUGCGUAACACGUGGGUAAUUUGCCGUGAAGUCUGGAAUAACUUGCUGAAAGGCGAGCUAAUACCGGAUGUGAUUGCUGGGGGGCAUCCUCUGGCAAUUAAAGUCGGGGACCGCAAGGCCUGACACUUCUCGAUAAGCCCGCGGCCUAUCAGCUAGUUGGUGAGGUAACGGCUCACCAAGGCUAAGACGGGUAGCUGGUCUGAGAGGACGACCAGCCACACUGGAACUGAGACACGGUCCAGACACCUACGGGUGGCAGCAGUCGAGAAUUUUUCUCAAUGGGCGAAAGCCUGAAGGAGCGACGCCGCGUGGGGGAUGAAUGGCUUCGGCCCGUAAACCCCUG